UACGAAGGGGGCUAGCGUUGUUCGGAUUUACUGGGCGUAAAGCGCGCGUAGGCGGACGUUUAAGUCAGGGGUGAAAUCCCAGGGCUCAACCCUGGAACGGCCUUUGAUACUGGACGUCUGGAGAUCGGGAGAGGUUGGUGGAAUUCCGAGUGUAGAGGUGAAAUUCGUAGAUAUUCGCAAGAACACCAGUGGCGAAGGCGGCUUACUGGUCCGGUUCUGACGCUGAGGCGCGAAAGCGUGGGGAACAAACAGG
rnacentral:rRNA from 1 species